GACGAACGCUGGCGGCGUGCUUAACACAUGCAAGUCGAACGGAAAGGCCUCUUUCGGGGGGUACUCGAGUGGCGAACGGGUGAGUAACACGUGAGUAACCUGCCCUUGACUUUGGGAUAACUUCAGGAAACUGGGGCUAAUACCGGAUAGGAGCUCCUGCUGCAUGGUGGGGGUUGGAAAGUUUCGGCGGUUGGGGAUGGACUCGCGGCUUAUCAGCUUGUUGGUGGGGUAGUGGCUUACCAAGGCUUUGACGGGUAGCCAGCCUGAGAGGGUGACCGGCCACAUUGGGACUGAGAUACGGCCCAGACUCCUACGGGAGGCAGCAGUGGGGAAUAUUGCACAAUGGGUGGAAGCCUGAUGCAGCAACGCCGUGUGCGGGAUGACGGCCUUCGGGUUGUAAACCGCUUUCGCUCAUGACGAAGCUUUGUGUGACGGUAGUGGGUAAAGAAGCACCGGCGAACUACGU
rnacentral:rRNA from 1 species